rnacentral:lncRNA from 1 species
CUUACAUACUGCAUUAUGAUUCCCUUACUGACUGCAAAGUGAAGGCCUCCUAGUCCUAGGGCAUGACUCACCAUUUUUCAAUUAUAAUGAAGAAAGGUCUUGUUUGUUGCAGGCAUGUUUCAAGCAGUUGGCUGGUGGGACUUUGAGAGAUGCUGCCGCCCGUGAUGUGGUGGAGUUAUCAUGAUCAACCACUCCGUUCGGAUUUCAACCAGUGGCCAUGAGCUUUGUCUGAUAGACCACAGCAGGAGUUGGAUUUUUAAAAAGGAGCAAACCAGGUAAAUGAAAAUCAUCAAAUCUGCAACCUGGGGAUGGUUCAAUGGAUAAGAAAGCUUGCAGUGGGAACAAGAGGACCUGGAUUCAAAUUGCCAGCACCCACUAUACCACUCCCACUAUUCCUUCUACACAGUUCUUUUAAGAGACAAGCAACACACAGGGUGGUAUUUACAUGAAGGAAAGACACUGAAGCCAAGCCCACCAGUGACCAUCACAAGCUUGUGAUCUUGUCCUCAUAACAGAGUACAGCAGGGAGUGGACCAGAGAGAGCAUCUGUCCCAGCAGAAUAAAAAAGGCCUUCCCAGUGAUUCCA